rnacentral:rRNA from 3 species
AAAACUUUCAACAACGGAUCUCUUGGUUCCGGCAUCGAUGAAGAACGCAGCGAAAUGCGAUAACUAAUGUGAAUUGCAGAAUUCAGUGAAUCAUCGAGUCUUUGAACGCACAUUGCGCCCUCUGGUAUUCCGGAGGGCAUGCCUGUCCGAGCGUCAUUG